UACGUAGGGUGCAAGCGUUGUCCGGAAUUACUGGGCGUAAAGCGUGCGCAGGCGGUUUUGUAAGCCAGAUGUGAAAGCCCCGGGCUCAACCUGGGAAUGGCAUUUGGGACUGCAAGGCUUGAGUGCGGCAGAGGAGACUGGAAUUCCUGGUGUAGCAGUGAAAUGCGUAGAUAUCAGGAGGAAUACCGAUGGCGAAGGCAGGUCUCUGGGCUGACACUGACGCUCAUGCACGAAAGCGUGGGGAGCAAACAGG
rnacentral:rRNA from 1 species